rnacentral:rRNA from 1 species
UACGGGGGGGGCAAGCGUUGUUCGGAAUUACUGGGCGUAAAGGGCUCGUAGGUGGCCAACUAAGUCGGACGUGAAAUCCCCAGGCUCAACCUGGGAACUGCGUCCGAUACUGGAUGGCUUGAAUCCGGGAGAGGGAUGCAGAAUUCCAGGUGUAGCGGUGAAAUGCGUAGAUAUCUGGAGGAAUACCGGUGGCGAAGGCGGCAUCCUGGACCGGCAUUGACGCUGAGGAGCGAAAGCCAGGGGAGCAAACGGG